rnacentral:lncRNA from 1 species
CCUACUCCAUAGAGAGUGGCUGACCCUACAGCAGACGACUGCAACAAGAUAAGGGCUGGAUUACUGUGUUAUGACUUGGUUUAUGUUUCAAAUAUAGAGCAGGACUUGCAGAUUGAGAUCCCUGGACCAGGAGUGGGAAAUUCUUAAAGGAGCCAGGGGCACUGAACUUGGCAGCAUACCCCCACCCUAGGCAGCUCCCAGCUUCCUGGAAAGGACUGGAUAAAGAUGAAUAGGAGCUUUGCAUUGCAGGGAGGGGGUAAAGAACGGAGUGACAGCUGGGUAUGGGAUUAGGAGAGAAGCGGCUAUAGCUGGAGGGUGGGAUGCAGGGGGUAUAGCAGUUGGACAUGAGGGUGUGACUGAACCCGGGUAGGGAGAGGGGAUGUUCCUCCAGGCCCAGGAAGGAGGCUGGAAUUUGAGUAAAACAAAGAUGUAAUUGAGUGCUUGAGUCCAAUGUCUUCAACAAGUCAGGGACUGGAUCUGGAGACCCUAGGCCCCUGCUGGCAAGAGGUUGGCAUUCCUGGAACAGGACUAGACAAAAACAGGAAGCAUUCCUACUGCCACCCAGCACUGCCUGCUGUACUCAGCUCUACCGAAAGCCACUCUCAGACAAGCUACUGAGGAAGGUCAUCCAGGUGGAACUGCAGGAGGCUGACGGGGACUGUCACCUCCAGGCUUUCGUGCUUCACCUGGCUCAACGCAGCAUCUGCAUCCACCCCCAGAACCCCAGCCUGUCACAGUGGUUUGAGCACCAAGAGAGAAAGCUCCAUGGGACUCUGCCCAAGCUGAAUUUUGGGAUGCUAAGGAAAAUGGGCUGAAGCCCCCAAUAGCCAAAUAAUAAAGCAGCAUUGGAUAAUAAUUUCUGAGUAUAAUCUCCAAGAA